rnacentral:tmRNA from 1 species
GGGGAUGACAGGCUUCGACGGGGAAGGUUGAUCCUGGAUGGCAAGCCGAGCACGCUUACACCCUCGUAAAACUGGAGCAACAAUUAAGUGCUAACAACAACGCACGAUACAACGCUCUCCCCCUCGCCGCCUAAUCUCGGCUAAAGGGAAGCAAAGGCUCUGAAACGGGCCGCGUCUUCUAUCAACGCUCAUUGGCCGGAGAUAGACAGGCGACACCAAGUCAAUGUGCGCUUCGCCCACACCGAUAGGCGUAGCUAAGCGGCUCUUUCGGGAGUCAUCGGUUCGUCACCAUGUGAUCCCGGUCAGCAGGGGCUAUGGGGAUUAAAAGCAAAUGAGCUGACUAUGCUUGUAGAAGUUCAGCGGUCGAGUUUUUCGGACGCGGGUUCGAUUCCCGCCAUCUCCACUA